AACGAACGCUGGCAGAAUGCUUAACACAUGCAAGUCGAACGUGAAAGUACUUCGGUAUGAGUAAAGUGGCGCACGGGUGAGUAACACGUAGGUGACCUGCCGUUUAGAGGGGGAUAACCAGAAGAAAUUUUGGCUAAUACCGCAUACGAAGAACGAACUUAAAUAUAGUUCUUGAAAGGAUGCCUCUGCAUAUGCAUCUACUAAACGAUGGGCCUGCGGUACAUUAGCUAGUUGGUGGGGUAAUGUCCUACCAAGGCGACGAUGUAUAACGGAUCUGAGAGGAUGAUGCGUCACACUGGAACUGAGACACGGUCCAGACUCCUACGGGAGGCAGCAGUGGGGAAUAUUGGACAAUGGGCGAAAGCCUGAUCCAGCAAUUCUGCGUGAGUGAGGAAGGACUUCGGUCUGUAAAGCUUUGUUAAUGUGGAAAAAUGGUUAGCGGUCUAAUAGGCCGUUGAUUUGAUGGUACACAUAGAGGAAGCACCGGCUAACUUCGUGCCAGCAGCCGCGGUAA
rnacentral:rRNA from 1 species